UUCCGCCCCCGCGCCGGGUGGGCCAAUCACUACACUUCCCCUUUCCGGUUGCGGGGAUUGGUCCGACGGAGCACGUGACCAGGUCCCGGGCCUUUUACCCCAACACAGCAGCCCUGAGGGUUCCGAAGUGGCUGUGAGGCCAUGGUCCUGGAAGGAUUUGCCUAAGCCACAGACUCCGGCGCCUGGGCUAUAACCCCUGCUUGGCCCAUAAACUGUAACCACCCGGCCAUGAAGCUCUUGUACCUUGAGAGGUGAGGGUGGACAUCCAAACCCCGAUGACAUCCCUUCUCGCUGCUUUCUGCCCAAGAUGGUGACCCUAGAAGAUGUUGCCUGUGCCUCCCGGGCUCCUCUCCCUACAGCCACAGAGCUGCUGGUCCCUUAAGUUCCUUGCACCAGACGCAAGAGAGUCUCAGGGCAGGGCCAGCAAAAGAGGAGAAGCAGAGGGUGAGGAACCAGGAAACCAUAAAUGGAAGAAGGGAGAUGAGAAAUGCAAAGGCCUGAAGAGAAAUGACUGUCCACUUGUAAAACGGCAAAAAUCUUUGUCUUCAUAGAAUUUAACUCCUAGUGUCUAGAGAUAAGGAACAAAAACCAUACUAUGGGGCUGGGGAUAUAGCUUAGUGGUAGAGUGUUUGACUAGCAUGGGCAAAGCCCUGGGUUCCUGUGGAGAGCCACUCCAAAUGCACGCACCUUUAACUCCUGCUGCACCACGGGGAUCUGAAAGAUCACUGUGGUCUGGCACAGUAGUGCCAUGACUUGUGACUCUGGCGACAGCACCCAGAGGGGUUGAGCUACACUCACCUGUUCCCUUGUAAUCCUACCCCUUGCCUCAUUUGACUGGCUUUUUCCCAAUAAAGGGGUUCAGCACGU